AUGGAAGAUGUUGCUCGGGAUUACUUUGAUGAAUUGGUGUCGGCCUCAUUUCUGCAACUAGGAGGGAAACAAGAAAAUAUUCUUGGACAUGAUGGUGUGGUUGAUUACUUUACUAUUCAUGAUCUGCUCUGUGAUUUAGCGGAGGACGUUUCUGGAAGAGAUUGCUUCAGGAUUGAGAAAGGCUUCACAGGAGAAGUUCCUCAAGAUGUUCGCUACCUUUUUGUCGGGAGUUAUGAUAUAGAGAUGCUUACUGAGAAGAUGUCUGGAUUGAAACAUUUACGCACUCUCAUCAUCAAUGACAUCAUAUGGCUUAAAUCAGAUGAGUCUGAAUUCUUAGCGAGUAUGUUCACUAUGUUGACAGGGCUGCGGAAAUUGCGGGUACUGAAUAUGAGAGUAGCACGUGAGAGGAGUGGAUUUGGUUUUUCAUUCUCAUUCCCAGAUUCUAUUGGUCAGUUGAAGCAUCUGCGUUAUUUUGGUUUCAUGGUUCCAGUACUUCACAAGCUAACUUUACCAGGUGCUUUUACCAAGCUUUACCACAUGCAGGUGGUAGAUUUUGGUCAUUGCAAAUUUUUGGCUUUUUCUAGAGGUGAAGAUAUGAUGAACCUUGUCAACCUGCGCCGUGUAAUCAGCAAGGCAGAUCUUGAUUUUCCGAACGUUGGCAGGCUGACAUGGCUCCAAAUGUUACCAUUCUUCACAAUAAGUAAGAAGCAGGGGUACGAGUCUCACCAGCUGAAAUACCUAAACAAGCUUCAAGGCAAGCUGCAGAUCCACGGUCUUGAGAAUGUUCAGAGCAAGGAAGAGGCUCUUGAAGCCAAUCUUGCCGGCAAGGAAAAACUCACAGAACUGGUUCUGGUCUGGGAUGAUGGGAGCUUCAGUCCAGAAGUUCAAGCAGAGGUGCUUGAGGGUCUCUGUCCAUCAAAGUAUCUUGAAAGACUAGAAAUCAGGGAUUACCAGGGUAAGAGGAUACCGAGUUGGCUGAUGGGUACGCAUAACGGCAGCCCAAAGAACCUGCAAGACCUUCACUUCAACAGCUGCAGCUUGGAUGACUUACCAGGUAAUACGGAGCACCUCACAUCACUCAAGAAUGUGAUCCGGUAUAACUACCGCUGA
rnacentral:rRNA from 1 species